rnacentral:misc_RNA from 1 species
GUUAUGAUUAUAUAUCAAUGGGACUUUCUACAUGUUUUGUGAAGAUGACAUAGACAAGGGAAAGCCGACUUGAAAGCACAGCAGUCCCAACUCGAACGAAUCAUAGGUCUACAAUAGGUGCACAGUUGGAGAAAUAAGAAUUGACAAGUGUGCACAUACCCCUGUGGGGGGCCAGCAACAACCUGUUCAAGUUUAUUCGAUAAUGAUCCUUCCGCAGGUUCACCUACGGAAA